rnacentral:rRNA from 1 species
UACAGAGGUCUCAAGCGUUGUUCGGAUUCAUUGGGCGUAAAGGGUGUGUAGGUGGCGCCGUAAGUCGGGUGUGAAAUUUCGGAGCUUAACUCCGAAACUGCAUUCGAUACUGCGGUGCUUGAGGACUGGAGAGGAGACUGGAAUUCAUGGUGUAGCAGUGAAAUGCGCAGAUAUCAGGAAGAACACCCGUGGCUAAGGCGGCUCUCUAGUACGGUACUGACGCUGAGACGCGAAAGCGUGGGAGCGAACAGG